rnacentral:misc_RNA from 1 species
GAAAUGCGAUAAGUAAUGUGCAUUGCAGAAUUCAGUGAAUCAUCGAAUCUUUGAACGCACCUUGCGCUCCUUGGUAUUCCUUGGAGCAUGCCUGUUUGAGUAUCAUGAAAUCUUCAAAGUAAAUCUUUUGUUAACUCAAUUGGUUUCUACUUUGGUAUUGGAGGUCUUUGCAGCUUCACACCUGCUCCUCUUUGUUCAUUAGCUGGAUCUCAGUGUUAUGCUUGGUUCCACUCGGCGUGAUAAGUUAUCUAUCGCUGAGGACACUGUAAAAGGUGGCCAAGGUAAAUGCAGAUGAACCGCUUCUAAUAGUCCAUUGACUUGGACAAUACUUUUAUGAUCUGAUCUCAAAUCAGGUAGGACUACCCGCUGAACUUAAGC